rnacentral:snRNA from 1 species
AAAAAGGGCGUUUGGUUUUUGCCACGUUCUCAGUCCCGGACGCGUUCUGAGGAUGCAGAAUCGCCAUCAAGAGAUUCUGAGCGCGUAAUUUUUGUACUGGGCUGCCGGUGAUGGCGAAAGCCUCUGGCGCCCGU